rnacentral:rRNA from 1 species
UACAGAGGGGGCAAGCGUUGUUCGGAAUUACUGGGCGUAAAGAGCGCGUAGGCGGCCAGAUAAGUCCGGUGUGAAAGUCAAAGGCUCAACCUUUGAAUGCCGCUGGAAACUGUCUGGCUAGAGUCCGGAAGGGGCGAGUGGAAUUCCUGGUGUAGCGGUGAAAUGCGCAGAUAUCAGGAAGAACACCCGUGGCGAAGGCGGCUCCUCGUGGGACGGUACUGACGCUGAGGCACGAAGGUCAGGGGGAGCAAACGGG